AUUAAAGGCGAGCGCCGCCACUGCCA
rnacentral:piRNA from 1 species